UUUCCUCACUUCUAUAAAACAGUACCUGAGGCCACUGGCCGAUGAACUCACAAGUGUAGGUAGUGUGCUACAUGAGGGGCAAGUUUUUCGCUAACAUCACAAGGGUCUCUGGCCCAAUGAGUGGAGUUUGAUAGUAAUACUUGCUACAAAU
ensembl:snoRNA SNORA62 Small nucleolar RNA SNORA62/SNORA6 family